UACGUAGGGUGCGAGCGUUAAUCGGAAUUACUGGGCGUAAAGCGUGCGCAGGCGGUUUUGCAAGCCGGAUGUGAAAUCCCCGGGCUUAACCUGGGAAUGGCAUUUGGGACUGCAAGGCUGGAGUGCGGCAGAGGAGACUGGAAUUUCUGGUGUAGCAGUGAAAUGCGUAGAUAUCAGGAGGAAUACCGAUGGCGAAGGCAGGUCUCUGGGCUGACACUGACGCUCAUGCACGAAAGCGUGGGGAGCAAACAGG
rnacentral:rRNA from 1 species